GAAAACCAAAUAAAUGCAUGUUAUAGACUCUUAAAGCACUAAGGGAGGACAAAUAUCUGAUUGAUCUACUCAUUUUAAAGAAUUAGGCACUUGAUGCCUAUGGCUCAGAGCUACUUAUAAUCCCAGUAUCUUGUGAAUGGUUAGUGGUACAACAAAGCCCGGGAUGUGGGUUAUUUGUUCUUUUUAGUUGGAUUUAGUCAAAUAGUCAAAAGAUUAUGACGAGACUGUAUUAAAAAUAUAGAGCUAUAAUAUGAUAACAUCAUACCAACCCUUGGUUUUCAUGCCAAAUCUUUUCUUUUUUUCCUUAAGGGCCGCACCUGUGGCUUAUGGAAGUUCCCAGGCUAGGGGUUAAAUCAGAGCUGUAGCUGCUGGCCUACAUCAAUCACAGCCAUAGCAAUGCCAGAUCCAUACCCUGUCUGCAACCUACACCACAGCUCAUGACAGUACUGGAUCCUUAACCCUCUGAGCCAGGCCAGGGAUUGAACCCACAACCUCAUGGACACCAGUCGGGUUUGUUUCCACUGAGCCACACCGGAACUCCCUGGAAUCUUAGGUUUAGAUGUUUCUCCUUAAUUUUCUCUGGGGAGUACAAGGAUAUUACCUAAUCUUUUCAGGUUAAAAGUGUCAAUAUGUUAAUAUAGGAAGUAUUUUAAAAACCUCUUUUUGGCAUUUUUUCCACUUUUAAUGUCUCAGAUUCUCAAAGUGGACAUCACUGGAAUCUUUCUGGAGCCCUGAGUGGUCUUGUCUGUAGCUGUUGGCCACAUAGGCAUGUGCUGCUCACUGUGGAGAAGUAUGCUCUGCUGUUUGAUAGCUCUCACUGUCAGAAAUUCCAGCUGUCCAGACCCCAGCCUCCUGACUCAUAAUAGGCUUUCAGAAUCGCUCAGGACUCAAGAGUAACUGAACCAAAUCUAGAAACCGUUAGAAGAAACCAGCACGUCAGAGAAGAGCACAGGUUGUGGAUUAGAGAAGUUUCACUGGAUGAUGCACAGAUUGGCUGUCGAUAUUUUUAAAGGACCUGUGAAACCCGAGAAGCAUUCAAGGGGCGGGGAUGAGGCAGAAGCUACCAAGAAAAGAAAAGCAGAGGAGAAGAAGGAAGAGAGUGGGCGAAGAGGAGCAGCAGAAGUGAAGAAAGAGGACCAGGGAGAGGGAUGGCAGAGAGUGGGCUCUCUGAAGAGAGAACACCCAGAACCCUGAAAAUUAGCAUUCUGUGAGGGAAUAUCAUGCCUCUACAGUGUGGUGUGUGGAUGGGGCAGGGGAGCAGGCAACGGAGAAGGUGCACUGGAACUUCAUCUCAACCAUCAAUCCAAAGCCAUAGCAGCCAUCACACUUCAGCACUUUAUACAAGAUGAACUUGAUGGAAGUGUUAUGGGUUGCAUUUUGAUAGCUUUGUAAUGGAUCAAUCAGACUAAAUUGAAAGAAAAAAAAUCGUCUUUAGUUACCUCAGUUGAAACAAAGCCAUGUACUUUAAAGAAAAAUGCAGAGUGGGAGUGGAUCUUCAAAGCUGUGGGGCUCAAGGCAUCUUUAAAGAUGAAUGUCCUUCCCUUCUGGCCCCUUCCUCUCUAUCCCUCUCUUCUCUCCCCUUCCCCUCCUCCCUCUGUCUCAGCAGACUCUUCACAUCUAAUUUACUCUCUGUUCACCACCAAGUGACUUCAUCCUUCUCCUCUCUGUAUCUUUUCUGGUCCCUCCAAACUUUGGAUUACACAUGGCAUUAUGUCACCAUUAGCUCACUGCUGACUGGCACAGUUCUUCGGUGUUUCCCUUUAUACAUUUUGGAAACGAAGAUGCCAAACGGCUUAACUCACCCUUUCAGAGCUACACGAUGUGUCAUAUGCUAGAUUAUAAGUCUUCUGGCCGUUCAUCUUGGUGCCAAUUUUCAAGCUUCUCACCUGGGGGCAGGGCCAGGGUAGGGGCACAGUGGUAUGAAAUGUAGGUGCUUAGGCAAAGGAGAUGCCUAAGUGGUUGGGAUGAGAAAUUACCCAGGAGAGAUCCUCAGACAUCUCUAGUGCAGGCAUAGCUGCAAAGCAUUGUAAGAUAAUGGGCACAAAUGGGGUAGAACAGUGCUGAGUUGUAAUGCUGUCGAAUACUGUGGGUGCAACACAGUCUCCAGACUCCGUUUGUAAAAGACAAGACCAGGCACAUAGGAAAGUUGUGUUAGCUGUAAAAGAACAAACAAACAUUUGAAAGGUUGAUGAAUCACUGCACAUUCGUUCAUCUCCCUUAUACGAUAUCAAAUCUCAGAAAGGCAGCUGUUCACAUUUUCGGGUGCCUGGUAAAUCUUCUCAAGCGGCUGAGGAUUCAAUAUCAUGCAUAUGACAAAAUUAGGCAAGUCAACUGUGUGUUACAUGAGUGGCUCAUUUCGCCUGAUGUUCUAUUGCAUUUGCAGCUGCAGCUGCGUCUCAGACACGUAACAUUAACUGAUGUUCAUAAUGAUAACACUGAGUCAUUAAGAAAACCUGUAUUAUGUCUGGUACAGUAGACUUGAGAAGUAGAGAGAUGCAGUGGAGAAAGAACUAAGAUUCAGGAGUUCCUGCUUAAUUGCAGACGUGGAGAGAGGUGAGCUGCUUAUGCCUUUGCCCUUCAGCAACGGGAUUCCUGUGAGGCAGGCACAGUGAUACCCAUUCUACAGCUGAGAAAACAUGUUUAGAUGUGUUAGUAAAUUGUACAGAAUCCGGUUAGGAACGCAAAUCCAUCUUACUCCAGAACUUGCGUUCUCUCCUUACACCACCAAAUUUGCUGGGUGUUUUCGUUUGUUUGUUUGUUUUUGUUUUUGGUAGAGUCUAACAUGUGGCACAGAUGAUGUUAUCUACAAAACGGAAACAGAUCAUGGCCAAGGAGAGUACAUUUGUAGUUCCCAGGGAGGACAGCGGAGGGAGUGGAAUGGGCGGGCAGUUCCAGGUUUUUGGAUGCAAACUCUUAUAUUUGAAAUGGAUGAGCAAUGGGACCCUACAGGACAGCACAGCACAGGGAAAUGUGUGUGCCCGGGGUCACAUUGUUGUACAACAGAAAUUGAAGAAAUGUAAAUCAAUUACACUUUAAUAAAAAAAAAAAAAAAGAAAGAAAAA
rnacentral:lncRNA from 1 species